rnacentral:lncRNA from 1 species
UUGUCGAGCGUUUUCCGCUGACGGAGCCCUCACCUCAGACACCGGCGGUAGGGCUGGAUGCGGGCCCGGCCCAGGACCGGUCUUCUGUCCUCACACCGGGGAGGACCACGCAGGAAGGAGCUGAGUCAGAGAGACCGUGUGUAAUUUGCUCAGCGUCACACAGAUAGUAAACGGCAGAGCCGCUCUUCCUCCCUGUCCCGCCAGCUCCUGCCUUCUGCUGUCUUGGAUCUCCUAUGCACGGGAAACCUGUUGAAGGUAGGACAGCCGAAAGACGAGGUCUCACUGUGUUGCUCAAGCUGUCCUGGAAGUCCUGGACUGAAGUGAUCCUCCCACCUCGGCCUCCCAAGGUGCUGGGAUUACAGGUGUGAGCCACCAUGCCCAGCCAAAACCUUGAUUUUUCUGUCACCCCCUCCACUGCACCCUGAGAAUCACUGCUAAUGGACUUAGAGGAAACCGAAGAAAUCCCAAGCCACACCAAACAGGACCUCAAGACUCUCCCAUUUUUCUAUCAUCAGGGGCAUGUUUGGUACCUCUGGCGAUUUGCGAAAUGACCUUCUGACCCCAGAACUCCGAGUCAAACCCUGUGCCACACCCUUCCCAGGGCCCAGUGGUACUGCAUCAUCUGUUGCAAUCAGCUGCCGAGGCUUCACCACUGGUAUUCCUAUGAAAAAGCAAGUGUACCAGCUGUCAUCCAUCCUCGUUCUGAAGUCUCAGCUGUCUUUGGGGUUGCUACCCUAUUCUUCUGGGGCUCCACCAUAAAAGUUCUCACCAGUAGUCACCAGUUUGGACUUAUCCUCUUCAUCACCAACUUCAUCAUCUUCCACACUUCGGCCAGGAAAGAAAAAGCCCAUCAUUCUGUGGAAGAACUGGUGUGUCAGCUGGAUGGUGAGAGGCACCACAUUUACCUAAAAAGGAAAAAGAUUCAAGAAGCAAUUAAGCUCAGAUACCAUCAUCAGUUUACCUACUCCUAAUAUCGUGUAACACACAGGUGGCUUUUGAAUGUCCCUUGUUCCCAGGUCCCUAAGGGACUGCUUACUAACCUCAAAAUGCUCCUUAACAGAGAUACCCCCAACAGGGGGCCGAACUUUGCUGAAGAGGCGGAGAGCUAGCUGUCGCCCAGACUGGCAGGAGCUCUGGGGCCGCAGUACUACCUGUAGGAUAGAGAGUAAAGAAGAGCCCAACCCAAUGUCCUUCCUGCCAUAAAGCAACCCACAAAUCCUCUGCAGAAUGAGAGGAGAAGCAAUGGUACUGCUAAGCUGGGCAAGCUUUCACCCUCUCAGAUCACCACAUUGUUUUCCAUAGUGGAUUUAUACUGAAGGGCCGUUAUAAAUGCCCCGUGCUAAAAACAUGCAAAUGGACUAGGAAAGGGGAAAAAAGACUUGCCUUAUAGACAGCAUUGGGGAGGAGGUUGUUCAUGGUAAACCAGCCCAACUCCAGAAGAUGUUCUGCUGUGUCAUCAGACUUAUUCACCUAUAAAGACAGAUUUUGCCCCAUCUACUAUAAUAAACCUUUCUCAGAAGUCUACUAG